CUUGCUAUAUAUAGUCGUGGCACCCUUUUCCUUUGCUUAGCCUGACGUCCUCUUGCCUCCAAUGUGUCUUAGUCGUGCAUUUAGGCGCCACUCUUUCCGACUCGUCGGAUGUCGGGAAAGGGGUAUAGAGCGGGCUAUACUAUCUUUCGCUGCCCGGUCACUUAGGCGGGACGUCGUUCAACUCGGUCGUGACGGUCAGAUUUUGACCAAUACACUAACGGAACCAUCAGAAAUUCAAUCCGAGGUCAAAUUCUAAAAAGUCGAAACUUGGUCAAACCUUUCAAAUUUAAGGCUUCUAGCUGAGAAUCAUUCUUCCAAAUCAAUUCCGAAUAACCUGAAAACCAAAAUCGAUGAUUCACAUAAGUCCUAAUACUUCAUACGGAGCUACACCGCUUCAUUUUUGUUUCUACGUUGUAACAAUAUUCAUUUUUAUCAUUUGUGCCACUACAGUCUUUAACACAUCAUUAUCUGGGAGUAAAACUUAUUUCCACAACGGUACCUUUUCUCUUAUUAUUAUUGGUUAAAGAUUCACCAUGGGAGGAAAGAGAAGUGCGUACAGUUUUCGUUGAUAGCUAAGUUGAUAUUUUCCUAUGAUUUCUCCCUAUGGCUAAGGAAAACCUUUAUUCUGGAUUGAGUUUGUGCUGGUAUAAUUUUGACUUUUGCACUUUUUCAGAUUUUUUAAUGAGGUCCAACAACAAAUCACGAUAAGAUAUUUCAACUCAAUUAACUUAUCUAAGUUCCCCUCCCUAUGUAUGGACUCUUGUAUUUUCACUUCCCUGAUCUCUGUAUUAAGCACAAAAACAUGCAGAAUUAUAUCAAACAUUUCUGUUUCAUGGUUUAGUAAGAAGCUGUAACAAUCCUAAUUCCAGUUUGGUUCGCUUAUAGCUCAGCGUGUCAAUUUGUAGGGAGCACUAGAAUUUGAUUCCUAGUGAAAUCACACAAUUUAUAAUUUUCUUAUGAAUUAUGUAAUUUCAAUGUGGAUUAUAGACAACGUAAACCAUAAAAAACACCAGAGACUAGAAUUCUAGUAACAUUUCUGCUCCAAAAUGUGACUAACAAGUGUAUGAGACGAGAACAACCCUCAAGAGAAUCAAGGAUUAAUCAAAAAAAAUUGAGGAUUUACAAUGCGAAUUACACAAAAUUGCACAAUAAAUUAUGGGACGAGCACCAUAUGUUCGAUCAGCUUGGUGCGGCCGAGGCAUACAACUGACACUAAAAGCAUAGGUCUCGUAGAACAAGAGCCUAAAUGCCCAAUAAAGUGUUACGAGUGCCUUGCCCUGGAGCAAGUCCUUAUUAGCAGUCCUAAUUCUCCCUUUUAAAACAUCGCUUAACCACAUGAGAGAGUUCACUAGGUACGGACCGAGUGCCUCUCUAUUGUAACAUUGUGUAUGCCACUUUCAUAUUUCUGCUUCUACGUUGUCAAAUACAACAAUUUAACACCUUAUUAUUUGAGCUAGUUUUUAACAUAUCAAUUUUCAGGACUAAAAAUUAAUGCCGCUAUAGAGUAGUUUUCUGUUAAUUGUUGAAAUUUACAGUCUUUAUUUUCAAAACAAUUCACCCCUUUUUAAUUAAAAUUAACUCAUGAUCAAUAGAAGGAAAAUGAAAAGCGGUUCUCAAACGCAAGGGAGUUAACAUCAUUUUCCUGUUUCAACUUUGCUUUAAAAAUUAAGUACCUACCUCAACUCUGAAUGAUAUAUAUAUUUCCCUAUGUUUAUCUCAAUUGAACAUUUUAAAUUUUAAAUAUCGAUUUUACCUUCUAAAUUAUCAACAUUUAUCUCUUUAAUUAUCACGUGAAGUGGUCUCCAGAUAUUUUUCCUUUGAUUCUCCAAUGCCCUUUUCCUUUAUUCGGGAUUGAGCUCUCUAGAAAAUUCCUACCUUUUGCACAUUUUCAUUUUCUUAACGCAUUCCAAUAACAAUCCAUGAUAAGAUAUUUUUACUCCAUUAACUUAUCCCGAUUCUCCUUCCAAGAGCGUGGCCUAAAAUUCUAGUCCUACUCACAUCAUGUCAUCUCUGUUUGACAUGCAACCAAGCACAAGUAAUAUCUAAUCUGCAGAUAUUUACACACUUUGUAUCUUCACUUCCUUGACCUCUAUAUAAAGCACAAGAAGCAGGCAGAAUUGUAUCAACCACUUGAACUACAAGAUGGAAGACACUUCAAACCUCAAUCGCCACCGUCAAUCCUUAGAAAAAUCCCGCUCCCGAAACGCUGCAGCCAUCACUAAUAAUCGCCGCACAGCCAACAACUCUGUCGUGGAAGAGCAAUAUAGGGAUGACGACUUCAGUAUGGAAGAAGAAAGUGACUCUGAGACGUGGAACUCUUUUUCCAACAAUUAUAGACAAGUGCAGCCAGUGUUGGAUCGAAAUAGAUUGUUGAUUCAACAAGUUAACGAGAAUCAUCAGUCGAGAACGCACGACAGCAUGGUGCAGAACGUGGGUCUAAUUCAGGAGCUGAACGGCAACAUAUCAAAGGUGGCUUCUCUCUAUUCUGACUUCAAUACGGACUUCACAGCCAUGGUUCAUCAGCGAAAGAACGGCGUUUGAAAGAAGACCAACGACUAUAGAGGCUUCUCUAAGAUUCUAUAUAUUAACUUCCUUCUCUGUAAUAAUAUAUUAACUUCCUUCUCUCCAGCAAAUUGGAUUAAAAAUUCUGGGUUGAAAUAUCAGGAAUAACACUUACACGUAUUGUGUCUCCCACGUCAUACUUAUAUGAGACCCUUUAAUGUAUGACAUUUGGACUAGUGGGUCCACUUACAAUGUUAAGAAAACACGGUCUAGCAAGUUUUCGGACUGGUCAUUCAAAAAUAGACAGCGUUUACUAAGUCAAUGAAAAAUAGCUACUAUUUUACUGCAAUAGAGACCGGUCCAGCAUAAUAUACGGGAGUUCGGUGCACCUGUAUAUGAACUUCCAACAUAUUAUGCUGGGCCGGUAUACUUUGUUGUCUCCAGUAUAAUAUACUGGAGACUGGAGCACCGGUGCUCCAAACUCCAAUAUAUUAUGCUAGACCGGUAUAUUAUACUGGAACUCCAGUAUAUUAUGCUGGAGUAUUUUUCCGGAUUUUGAACAGUGUUUUCGUUCUGAUUUACUUUACAUGAAAAGUGGCUAAAUUUCGAUUACUUUUGAAACUGUAGUUAUUUUUGAAUGACCACUUGUAAAUCUGACUAUUUUUGAAUUUCUCCCACUUACACUCCCAUUUUGGAGCAUCGUUCUUCCAUUAAUUGUCUCUUUCUUCCCUUCCUCUUGUUAGCUCAUGUACUGUGUUUACCUUAAAAUUCGAGUUAACAAUUAAAUUUAUUUUGUGGUUUUAAAAAUAUGUGAUUCAACCAAAUACUAACGGAUAAACAAGGAAUCAAGUGUAUAAAAUAAAGAGUGACGUAAAUCAAACCAGUGUGUAAGCUAGUCUCGACCUCGGGCUAAAACGACCUCGAGGUAAAUAAACAAGACCGCUAAAAUAAUAAUAAGAUGAUUUAGAUGAACAACAAGCAGGAAAGUGAUGUAUGUAUAUUCUCUUGUUAAUGAUUCAUUACAAAUGAUUGGGUCCCCUUUAUAUAGUAGGGAAAUCCUAAAUAAGGUACAAUUCUAAUUGUAGGAGGGAAUCUUAUUAUACAACUGUCUAAGCGCCUAGUACAAAUCCGUUCCGAAAUUUACGCCGUGAACUUAGGGCCGCUGCGGGAAUCUCGCUCUUUCUGUUAUGAAACCAUAACGGUAUUAUCUCGAGGUCGGUCAUACUUAGUCUCGGUGUUCAUCGAGCACUUCGAUCUUCGAGUCUUUUACUCCGCCCUCGGGCUUGAGCCUGGUCCAUUUCGAACUUGUUCUCGAAGUGACCCUCGAGAAUACGAAAUCGGUCAUACCUGAUUUUGACCGUAUAUAGAUAGUCCCCGCAUUUCUUAGAGUAAGAUGAUAAGAAACAAUCUGAUCCUCGAUCCUCUGAUUCCUCGAUCAUGAUGUCAAUCCAGUGGCGUCAGCGACAGAAGUGAUUGAAAGGUCGCGUCUGCAUAGUUUCCAAGGUAAUUAAUUGAAGGUGGCUGAUGGUCCGUCAUUGGCUUCCCCAAACCGUUGAAGCGACCACUAUAAAUAGGUCACUUUCACAACCUUUACAAUCUUUACUUCUCAAACAUUUCCCAAAUCCUCACUAGUUUCUUCAUCUUCUCUGGGUCCAUCCUCUCUUCAACUUGCGCUUGUUAUAACAUCAACUUCUUCUCUUCUUCUGAGUUUCUCAACGGCGAUGGCUAAAACAUCUAAAACUAUUCCUCAAAAAGAAAAAGCCUCCUCAUCAUUGCGGUCGUCCAGUGGUAGAAUGACGGUGCCCCCUCGUAUCGAGGAGUGCAUUCCUGGGCCAUGCGAGCUAUCUUCCGAUUUCAAAAUCGAUAAGCCUGCAUCAGUUCCAAGCCGAUGCGAGCCCAUGUCUCGAUACAUCUGCUCAAUAACUGAAGACGAUCUUUAGCAGGUAAAAAAGUAUUGUAAUUGGGAGGAUAAUGAGGUGGUGAUUCCUUCCCUCGAAGAGGACAUCACCACUCAUGUGGAGGGAUACUUAAGCAUGUAUGCUUAUCUUUUCACACUAGAUCCCGUAGAUACAGUACUCGGUCCUGUAGAUCCAGUCAUUCCCUAUUUCCGUCACCAAUAUCGGGUGACCCUUGGCCAAAUCUACCCUUUUUUCCGGUGCAUCAUCAAUUUGCUCAGGUAUUUCUCAGGCAAGGUCAAAGGGAUGUCUUUUACCAUCGACCCCCUGAUUAGGCUAUACAACCCUCUCCUCUAUCGAGGUGGUUUGAUAAAGCUCCAGUGUUGAUACUCGAAGGAGCUAUUCUCUAGCACCGAUGAGGACAAGGACCGAGGAUAGAUGGGUCGAUUUGUCCGAAUCAAGACCUCCGACUCUAUUCUUGCCGAAAGGAUUCCAUUCCCCGAGGAAUUGAACAUGAAACGUAAGUACAACCCAAUUGAUGAUGCUUACUACUCUGCUUUCUCUAUUUCUUUUUCGAUCUAAUUCCUUUUCGAUGAUGCAGCUUCCCCUUGGUUUCCUGGUGCGAUUCGGGAUCUCGCAGGUUGGGUUCGACAACUGGCCUCCACUUCUUCUCAUGCAGAAGCUAAAAACCAUGGUGAGUUCCCUUGUUCAUAUGUUGACAUUUCUCAGUAAAACACUUACUUUCCCCUUACGCAGGCCUCAGAGACAUUGUCGUUAUGAGGUCACCUCCGCCCGGAGAAGAGGAAAUUCUAAAGCCAAUAAAAGAGAAGAAAAGGAAAAGGGCUUUGCCAACAAGUUCCCCGACGCCCAAGAAAAAUAAGUCUCAAAAGCCUAGGGCCGAUCCUGCAGCCUUAUCUGUAGAUGCGGUCCAACAACUUCGGGAUAAAGAGGAAGAAGGAGAGGAUGGCGACUGUUUGCUGGUAGCUCGGAAGAGGGGGAGCACUGAAGCUUUGAAGGCUACCGAACCGGUAAUGGCUGAUGCGGUUCAAUCCCAAACCGAAGAAAUCUCGGAGGGGAGCUCGAGCAGAUUCCCCGAGCCAUCGGGUGGUAAAAGCGCACCCCGUCUUGGAGGACAUUUGGCGGGUGAGCCCGAAGAGCCUAAUUACUAGGCCCUCCAAAGAGAAGAGAAUGUCCCAAGUGAAUCACUUGGGAUAAUUAACAUAGAUGAAUCGCCGCUUGGCCUUGUGUUCUCCGACAGGCAGUUCCAAGAUGCCCAGGCCAUGAAGACUUCUGACGUGGGGAUGACCCACAAAGGGAAUGAUAUUUUUCGGGAAUGCUUGUGGCGGUCGAAGAUGGUCCCGACUCGGAUGCUUCAUUUACUUUUGACGAGGCUCAACGUCUUCUUAAACAAGUAAGUUUCUGCUUCCAUAAUUAUGCUCGUGCUUUAUUCUCGUUUUUCUGAGUCUGACUUCUUUUGUUUGUGUGAAGGCUAUGACUCUCCAUCGACAAGCAUUCUCCAAGUCUCGAGCCGAGCUUUCCUAAUGCGAGGCCAAAAUCAAGAAGCUUGUGGAAGAGAGGGAUGACCUCAAACUCAUCUACGUUCAAAAAGAGGAGGAGAUCAUGGACCUAUAAGCCGACUUGAUGAAAGCUCAUCGAGAACAGACCGAGCUCAUUGAGCAGGUAAUGCAACUUUUUGGGAGUUUGUUAUGUGUUUAUCUGACUUAGCGACUAACACUUCGACUUUGCAGGCCCUGCAGAAGGGUGAUCUGGUGGAGCAACUUCGAGAGGAGCUCACGGAGAAAGAGGCUGAGACCCUGGGGUGGAAGCAUCAUAUGGAUCAUCUCGCUUCGGAGAAGGACACGCUUUGGGCCCAGCUGGCUUCGGUCGAAUGACAACAUCAAAAAGUUAAGGUGGAAAGCUUGGCCCGGAGCCAGAAGAUUGAGGAUCUCAAAGCUAAGUCGGCCGCCAAACUUGCAAAGGCUAAAUCUGAGGUGGAGGCAUGUGUGGCAUCUAAUCGAGCUGACGCCGAUGUCACACCUCCUUUUUAUACCCCGAAAGGGGUAUAGGGGAGUUUUUCCAAUUAAAGUGACAAUCGAAACGAGAUUAAUUAUCAAAUUCAAAGUCACUACUUGGGAUAAUUUAUGGUGCCCCAAGUCAUCGGUUUAAAAUCCCGAAUCGAGGAAGUUUGACUUUGUUAUGCAGUCUGCGAAACAUAAAAAUUCGGGUAAGGAAUUAUGUUAACCCGGGAGAAGGUGUUAGGCAUUCCUGGGUUCAGCGGUUUUAGCACGGUCACUUUGAUCAUACUUGGCUUAAUCAAAUUGUCUAAUCACUUAUUUUUAAACCUAUAAGCAUCCACCCCUUAGCCGCUUUUAAUUUGAAACAAAUCAUGCGUGCGUGUAUUCAUUUCGUUUGGAGCGUCAAAAAUCAUGUCACGCGUACGUAUCCACAAUUAAUCACGCUUUAAUAAUAUUAAGAAAGUUUGGCCGAAAUUGUGCGAACGCAUACCUCAAUUUAUUUCUAGGAAUGAUAAUCAUGUCACACGAACGUGUACACAAUCACAAUGAUAGAGUAAGUCGCGCCUAAAGAAUUCUAUCAUUUUGUGGAGUAUUAAUCGUUAAUAGAUUCGUUUGAAUCAUGUAUUUCUAUCAUUAAACUCAAAUCAACCUCAAGUCCUAUUACUAUAACAAGCUAUAAUUUUCAAGGCAACUUCUUUACCACAAUAUAAUUUUAAUAAUUUAAUCUAAUCAACUAUACUAACAAAUUACAAUUGCCAAAUACAUAUCCUUAUGUUGCUUACUCAUUACCUUCACAUUUCAAUCAACAAACAAAAGAAAAGCAUUACGUAUUGGCCAUGAUCACUUUGCCUUAAGAAAUCCAAAUCCCUAUUAAAAAAAACCACAACCCCACUGCUUAGUCAUUCUCAUUCUCUUAACACAACAAUCACCAAGAAAACAAAGUAAUUAAUCACACCAAGGUGCUGAAUAAAACAUAUUUGGUUGAGCAUAAUAUUUUCAAUAACAGACAUUAAUAAUCAAGCAGAACACUCAAACAUUACUCGACAAAACAAUAUCAACAAAAAAAAGCAUGCGUAAAGCUUAAAAAAGAGUAGAUUAAUAGAGGAGAGAUAAGAAUGAACCUCAAAUAAACGAACAGCUGCCUUCAAAAUUAUUAACAAAAGUUGAACAAUGAGUGUCAAACAAAUCUGGAAACGAUGAAAGACCAUCAACCAGACCUUCGAAGUACGAGCGGAACCAACGAGCGGAGACCUCAGACGGCAACUUCGAAAUGACCAUGAUCUCCAGAAAACGCAACUAAUUACGAGGGCUAUUUUGUGACAGAUUGGAGGCUGAUUUUCGGUAGUAUCUCAGCGGGUAUUCAGCUGAGUUUAAUGGAGUUCGCCAGAAAAAUGACAAAUCCGGCCCCACCCGCCUAAAUCCAAUCAAACUAAACAAAGUACUUUUUAUAACUCAUAUUGUUUGUAACAGCACGUGAAUGAAGAAACAAAGGUAUAGAAAAAGAAAGGUCUACCGUUUUGAAUGGUGGUCGUCGGAAAAGGGUAUUGAUCGCCGGAACUCAAACCCAAACAGACCGGUGUUCAAAACUUCACUGUCAGAUCUGAAAGUUUCCAGCCAAACUCCGGCGAGAAGAGUUGAUUUCUCCAACCAGUGGAGUUCGUCGAAGAGAAGAGAUGAUGGAAGUCACCGUGGUUGCGUAGCCAUCGCCGGUGACCAACUCCGGCGGACAACAGUGACGCUGAAAAUCAACCGAGAGAGAGAGGGCUGAGGGGUGAGCGCUGGAAAUGGUGUUCUCUUCCUCUAGGAUUGUUCAGUGUCAAGAAGAAGAAGCGGCUAAAGCUUUUUGGUGUCUCCUCAUUUUUUGUGUUUCAUUUCCUAAAGAAGAAGCAACGGCGGUGGGGUCUCCUUUUAGGUCUUAGGGCUCCCCUCUUUUUAGGUCUAGG
rnacentral:lncRNA from 1 species